rnacentral:other from 1 species
CGUCCUCUGCCUUGAGCGACAGCGUGCAAAACAUUUGCCUUGUCCCUUAAGAACGACACCGGGUUCGCGAUAAAGUCCGGCGUGCAUGUCCGCCCUGUAGCGGGAAGCCCAACGACCUUAAAGCGUUCCCACUUGAGCCCAAUGGUUCAAGGUCGUUUCGCCGCAUCGCCACGGCGGAGGAUGU